ACGGAAGGCAGCAGUGGGGAAUAUUGCACAAUGGGGGAAACCCUGAUGCAGCGAUGCCGCGUGGAGGAAGAAGGUUUUCGGAUUGUAAACUCCUGUCUUAAAGGACGAUAAUGACGGUACUUUAGGAGGAAGCUCCGGCUAACUACGUGCCAGCAGCCGCGGUAAUACGUAGGGAGCGAGCGUUGUCCGGAAUUACUGGGUGUAAAGGGUGCGUAGGCGGGACGGCAAGUCAGAUGUGAAAUGUAUGGGCUUAACCCAUAACCUGCAUUUGAAACUGUUGUUCUUGAGUGAGGUAGAGGUAAGCGGAAUUCCUAGUGUAGCGGUGAAAUGCGUAGAUAUUAGGAGGAACAUCGGUGGCGAAGGCGGCUUACUGGGCCUUUACUGACGCUGAGGCACGAAAGCGUGGGGAGCAAACAGGAUUAGAUACCCUGGUA
rnacentral:rRNA from 1 species